GGGUCCUAGGAGGCUUUCGGUAUCCUAAACAGGUUUAUUUUAAACUAACAACUAGUUUGAAGGGAAGGGGAUAAAGAAUUUGAAUAACUUCUGAACUGUAGUUUUCUCUUCUUUCAAAAUAUUUUAAUGUAAAACAAUAUGGAUGUGAUUGAAAACAAAAAUCAAGGGGGUGUCCGCGGCUUUGAUCAUUUUUUUUUUCAAAAUUAUUAUCUAAAGUUUGACUUCUAUAAGAUUCGCGUUUUAUUUUGUCACUUGGAUAAAUUGUUUCUAAAAAAAUCCUGCACAUGAAUAUUGAUUGAAUACCAACCAGCACUACUCCUUCAUGAAAGACGAGAGGCUGUUGGACCUACAUUUAUUCGUUUAAGAAUGAAUUUAUCAUUUAAAUCGUUUUUGUUUAUUUUUAAUUUUUCCCAACAGAACUGGUGCUAGAAGCCCUCCGCAACAUCGCAAAUAUCGCAUUCAUACAUCAGCGUUGGUGUCAUACCUUCAACUUAACAUUCGCAUACCUGUAGAGUUUGGAAGUUUAACUCCAUUCGGUCAUCCAGUCAAGGUCCAGGGCUCCAGGCCGUGAAUGUCCGCACUCAAAAUGGGUUUACUUUGUUGGCGUCAUCUAGACGAGUCAUCAUCACUAAGGGGAGGGAAGGAAACCAUUUGUGGUGGAUGGCAACUGAGCCGAGGCAACAAGAGAGGCCAUCAAACCAGACAGCGUCAAAAUACGCUUGAAUCCAAAAGAGUUCGACUUCAAUUAAAUUAAUUACCAAUAUUGAAAAACCUUGCCUUAAAAAUCGAGAUUAAUUUCUUCUACCGAACUACUUGCUAACUAGACGAUCGUCGAUUGUGCGGAAAUUCAGGAGUCAGUCCCGUCUUUCAUAGUGUCCAGAUUAGGUGGCGAACAAUCGCCCUAUCAGGGUGUGACAAACCGGCGGGAUCGUGAACUCCCUGUUUCCAUAAACGAUCAAGGGCUGCUGGGCCAACGAAAGUUGACGUUCCGGGGUGAUGGUUCUCUCACUGGCUGUCAUUAAAAAAAAACCUGGAUUCCCGUCAAGGUGGUUUCAAUCAUCAAGUGCCAACGCCCAUUCAUAUCAGAAAUCACCAAGACAUUGAAGCGAAGAAUCAAUAUUUUUUCCAGACAAAUAUCAUGUUGAUUUAGCUGGUAUCGUCGUACGAUGACAACUGCUCGUCAACCAGUAUCGAUGAAAAGAAG